rnacentral:rRNA from 1 species
AUUGAACGCUGGCGGCAUGCCUUACACAUGCAAGUCGAACGGUAACAGGUCUUCGGAUGCUGACGAGUGGCGAACGGGUGAGUAAUACAUCGGAACGUGCCUAGUAGUGGGGGAUAACUACUCGAAAGAGUGGCUAAUACCGCAUGAGAUCUACGGAUGAAAGCAGGGGAUCGCAAGACCUUGUGCUACUAGAGCGGCCGAUGGCAGAUUCGGUAGUUGGUGGGAUAAAAGCUUACCAAGCCGACGAUCUGUAGCUGGUCUGAGAGGACGAUCGGCCACACUGGGACUGAGACCCGGCCCAGACUCCUACGGGAGGCAGCAGUGGGGAAUUUUGGACAAUGGGCGCAAGCCUGAUCCAGCAAUGCCGCGUGCAGGAUGAAGGCCUUCGGGUUGUAAACUGCUUUUGUACGGAACGAAAAGCCCUGGGUUAAUACCCUGGGGUCAUGACGGUACCGUAAGAAUAAGCACCGGCUAACUACGUGCCAGCCGCCGCCGUAA